AAACAGCAGUAUAUGAGAAGUCAACAAUUUGGAAUUUAGAAAGUGAAUGGAUGAAUGGUACCUGAUUUAGCAGACCACAGAAAGCUGAAACUCAAGCUUGUAAGAGUAUCAGGGUAGAUGGCAGGAGCCAACAGGUAGCCAGACAUUUCUAGCCACACCAUCCCAGAGAGGCCUGGGAAUUGGAGGCAUUGUUUACUUCUGAAGGUAGGGGUUCAAAAUUAGGGUGAAAAUGGAAGGAUUAGUUACAAGUUUUUAAAAGAAGUAGUAGAGAUCUCCUCAUCCCAGAUUUCUUACUCUACCCUAUAUAGCCAUGUGAUCAUCCUCUCCCAAGCUGGCAGAAGACAAAAAGUUGAUGCUCUGAGAUGUUUAACCAAAAAGAUUCUGGACACAGGGACACCAGACACUGCUGACGGAAGGGUGAGGAGUCAAUAUGAAAAUAACAGGUUAAGGUUUCCUAGGAAACAUUUUGAAGAAGUCCAACCUUAUUUGGCUGAACAUGAAGAGGGAAAGGGACUUGGCUGGAAGAGCAAGGAGGAAGCUAUUGCACUCCUGGUGACGGCUGCCAUCUAGGCCUGAUAGGAGGAGGCCCUCUCCUCUCCUCCUGUGUGGCCAAGUCCUAGCCUGGACACUCCACCACCAAAGGGAGAAGACAAAGCCUUCUUGUUGCUCCAUAUUUAUCUUGGGAGCGCCUGCUCCUAGGAGAGCCUCCUGGCCUAGCAGCCCAGGAAUAGCACCGAGUCCACAUGGCCAGCCUGCCUGCCCCGCCAGGCCUUCAGAAUUGCUUGUUUUUAUUAAAAUUCUUCU